CAGCACCUCAAGUGGUCAGGAUGAUUAUUGGGCCUAAAGCAUCCGUAGCCGGCGCUGUAAGUUUUCGGUUAAAUCUGUACGCUCAACGUACAGGCUGCCGGGAAUACUGCAGCGCUAGGGAGUGGGAGAGGUAGACGGUACUCGGUAGGAAGGGGUAAAAUCCUUUGAUCUAUUGAUGACCACCUGUGGCGAAGGCGGUCUACCAGAACACGUCCGACGGUGAGGGAUGAAAGCUGGGGGAGCAAACCGGAUUAGAUCCCCGAGUAGUCC
rnacentral:rRNA from 1 species